rnacentral:rRNA from 1 species
AAAAUUUAUUAUUAAUUUGAUUUAUAUGUAAAUUUUUGUGUGAAAUUUGAUUAAUUUUAAAAAUUAAUUAAAUUAUAAAUUAUAAUCGCAGUAAUUAAUUUUAUAAAUUAAAGAAAUUUAGAUAUAGUAAUAUUAAAGAGUAUAGAUAAAAUUGGUGCCAGCAAUCGCGGUUAUACCAAUUAUGCAAAUAAAUUUUUUUAGUAAAAGUUAAAUUUGUUUUUUUUAAAUAUAAUUAAAUUUAUUAAGUGAAAUUUUAAAUUUAAAUUUUUUAUAAAAUAAUUAAUUGAAGCUUGAAAAUUUUAAUGAA